GAUGAAGAACGUAGCGAAAUGCGAUACUUGGUGUGAAUUGCAGAAUCCCGUGAACCAUCGAGUCUUUGAACGCAAGUUGCGCCCGAAGCCACUAGGCCGAGGGCACGCCUACCUGGGCGUCACACGCCGUUGCCCCCCCAUCUACUCCUUCGGGAUUGCGGGGGGGCGGAUGAUGGCCUCCCGUGCGCCUAGCCGCGCGGUUGGCAUAAAUACCAAGUCCUCGGCGACGCACGCCACGACAAUCGGUGGUUGCGAAACCUCGGUUGCCCGUCGUGUGCGUUCGUCGCGCAUCGAGGGCUCGAAAAAAUGCUCGGCUCCGGCUGGGCUUUCAACGCGACCCCAGGUCAGGCGGGGUUACCCGCUGAAUUUAAGCAUAUCAAUAAGCGGAGGA
rnacentral:misc_RNA from 1 species